CAAUAGCGUAUAUUAAAGUUGUUGCAGUUAAAAAGCUCGUAGUUGAAUUUCUGGUGGGCGCGCCGGUCUUCCAAGUGUUGUACUGGGCGCAGUCCGCCAUCCUUGUGGAGAGGGCUCGCGUUGAGUUGCGUGUCGGAUCUGCAUCAUUUACUGUGAAAAAAUUAGAGUGUUUAAAGCAGGCUGUCGCUUGAAUACAUUAGCAUGGAAUAAUAAGAUAGGACUUCGGUCUAUUUUGUUGGUUGCGAACCGAGGUAAUGAUUAAUAGGGAUAGUUGGGGGUAUUCAUAUUUAAUUGUCAGAGGUGAAAUUCUUGGAUUUAUGAAAGAUGAACAACUGCGAAAGCAUUUACCAAGGAUGUUUUCAUUAA
rnacentral:rRNA from 1 species